UUAAAGGCCCUUUUCAGGGCCACCCACGAGUUCAUAUAAAGAGCUGG
rnacentral:ncRNA from 1 species